rnacentral:lncRNA from 1 species
GUUUUUCCCUCUAUAAAAAUUUUCCAGGGUCAACCCCCUCUUCUUUUUUAUGUUUUUGGUGGAGGGAGGUUGUUGUUUCUGGGCAAUAUUUGCCAGCACUGUGGAGGUUUUUCCUUACCUUUUUAGUCAGAAAUCUGAGUGAGAUGGGCAGGUUCUCUGUGUAUGGCAUUAAGGAGCAAGGAUUUUGCCUGAUGUAAUAGAGGAAAUAGUUGUAAUAGAGAGAUACUGACACUGAGGCACGUUCUCCAAUCUCUGCAGCUUCUGCUGUUUGCUGUCCUUCUCUGUCCUAUCUUCCCGUGAGAGCCCAUGGUCUGCUCUCUUCAACCUGCUGGGGUUUCAGGUGUAGCUACUCUCAGGGGUAUGUCUUUGGUGGUCUUAGUCAGUUCCCAAGGACCUAGAGGUGCCCCUUACUCACUCUAGAGGUGCCCCUUGCUCAUUUGCUGAUUCUGGCAUGCUGGUUCUGAUUCUGGCUCUGUAGUCUAUAUCGGUGGGUGCUGAGGAGAGGACCAGUCUUGUGUCUAGACUGCCGUCAUGUUUACCAAGAAGUUUCCUGUUUGGAACUUACAUUCUAAUAGGGACAAGACAAACAACUUCAUCCAGAGUACAGAAACAACUGACUGAGGUUUCCAUGGUGCCCUGUUGAUGAUCUUUGAAAAAUCUAGAAGAGAAGAUGCUCUGCAGAUUUGGAGAAAGCCAAAUAAUACUAAUAGUCUUCAAAAAUGGGAAAGUAUGUGGUUUCUUCAAACCAUAGCUUCCCAGAGCAAAGAAGAAAGGUUUCUGUUGCAAUGCCUGGAUAGUAGGAUGGGGUUGAACAAGAAUGGCUAGCUGAACCACACUUGUCAUCACCCUACUUUACCACCGCUAUAGCCAAGUGGCCUCCUUCUUUUCCUCUCAUAUAUUUGAAAAGUAAAUUCUUGCAAUCAUCUUAUUGCAUGCAAACCAUUGUAUAUGUCAUCAUACAUGACACUGCUUACUCACAGUGCCUGACACAUGGAGGUACUUAAUAGAUAUUGAAAGAUUGAUUGAAUAAAUGAAUGAUUGAUGAUAUGUUAUAACCA